UUAAGCGACUAAGCGUACACGGUGGAUGCCCUGGCAGUCAGAGGCGAUGAAGGACGUGCUAAUCUGCGAUAAGCGUCGGUAAGGUGAUAUGAACCGUUAUAACCGGCGAUUUCCGAAUGGGGAAACCCAGUGUGAUUCGUCACACUAUCAUUAACUGAAUCCAUAGGUUAAUGAGGCGAACCGGGGGAACUGAAACAUCUAAGUACCCCGAGGAAAAGAAAUCAACCGAGAUUCCCCCAGUAGCGGCGAGCGAACGGGGAGCAGCCCAGAGCCUGAAUCAGUGUGUGUGUUAGUGGAAGCGUCUGGAAAGGCGCGCGAUACAGGGUGACAGCCCCGUACACAAAAAUGCACAUGCUGUGAGCUCGAUGAGUAGGGCGGGACACGUGGUAUCCUGUCUGAAUAUGGGGGGACCAUCCUCCAAGGCUAAAUACUCCUGACUGACCGAUAGUGAACCAGUACCGUGAGGGAAAGGCGAAAAGAACCCCGGCGAGGGGAGUGAAAAAGAACCUGAAACCGUGUACGUACAAGCAGUGGGAGCACGCUUAGGCGUGUGACUGCGUACCUUUUGUAUAAUGGGUCAGCGACUUAUAUUCUGUAGCAAGGUUAACCGAAUAGGGGAGCCGAAGGGAAACCGAGUCUUAACUGGGCGUUAAGUUGCAGGGUAUAGACCCGAAACCCGGUGAUCUAGCCAUGGGCAGGUUGAAGGUUGGGUAACACUAACUGGAGGACCGAACCGACUAAUGUUGAAAAAUUAGCGGAUGACUUGUGGCUGGGGGUGAAAGGCCAAUCAAACCGGGAGAUAGCUGGUUCUCCCCGAAAGCUAUUUAGGUAGCGCCUCGUGAAUUCAUCUCCGGGGGUAGAGCACUGUUUCGGCAAGGGGGUCAUCCCGACUUACCAACCCGAUGCAAACUGCGAAUACCGGAGAAUGUUAUCACGGGAGACACACGGCGGGUGCUAACGUCCGUCGUGAAGAGGGAAACAACCCAGACCGCCAGCUAAGGUCCCAAAGUCAUGGUUAAGUGGGAAACGAUGUGGGAAGGCCCAGACAGCCAGGAUGUUGGCUUAGAAGCAGCCAUCAUUUAAAGAAAGCGUAAUAGCUCACUGGUCGAGUCGGCCUGCGCGGAAGAUGUAACGGGGCUAAACCAUGCACCGAAGCUGCGGCAGCGACGCUUAUGCGUUGUUGGGUAGGGGAGCGUUCUGUAAGCCUGUGAAGGUGUACUGUGAGGUAUGCUGGAGGUAUCAGAAGUGCGAAUGCUGACAUAAGUAACGAUAAAGCGGGUGAAAAGCCCGCUCGCCGGAAGACCAAGGGUUCCUGUCCAACGUUAAUCGGGGCAGGGUGAGUCGACCCCUAAGGCGAGGCCGAAAGGCGUAGUCGAUGGGAAACAGGUUAAUAUUCCUGUACUUGGUGUUACUGCGAAGGGGGGACGGAGAAGGCUAUGUUGGCCGGGCGACGGUUGUCCCGGUUUAAGCGUGUAGGCUGGUUUUCCAGGCAAAUCCGGAAAAUCAAGGCUGAGGCGUGAUGACGAGGCACUACGGUGCUGAAGCAACAAAUGCCCUGCUUCCAGGAAAAGCCUCUAAGCAUCAGGUAACAUCAAAUCGUACCCCAAACCGACACAGGUGGUCAGGUAGAGAAUACCAAGGCGCUUGAGAGAACUCGGGUGAAGGAACUAGGCAAAAUGGUGCCGUAACUUCGGGAGAAGGCACGCUGAUAUGUAGGUGAAGUCCCUCGCGGAUGGAGCUGAAAUCAGUCGAAGAUACCAGCUGGCUGCAACUGUUUAUUAAAAACACAGCACUGUGCAAACACGAAAGUGGACGUAUACGGUGUGACGCCUGCCCGGUGCCGGAAGGUUAAUUGAUGGGGUUAGCGCAAGCGAAGCUCUUGAUCGAAGCCCCGGUAAACGGCGGCCGUAACUAUAACGGUCCUAAGGUAGCGAAAUUCCUUGUCGGGUAAGUUCCGACCUGCACGAAUGGCGUAAUGAUGGCCAGGCUGUCUCCACCCGAGACUCAGUGAAAUUGAACUCGCUGUGAAGAUGCAGUGUACCCGCGGCAAGACGGAAAGACCCCGUGAACCUUUACUAUAGCUUGACACUGAACAUUGAGCCUUGAUGUGUAGGAUAGGUGGGAGGCUUUGAAGUGUGGACGCCAGUCUGCAUGGAGCCGACCUUGAAAUACCACCCUUUAAUGUUUGAUGUUCUAACGUUGACCCGUAAUCCGGGUUGCGGACAGUGUCUGGUGGGUAGUUUGACUGGGGCGGUCUCCUCCUAAAGAGUAACGGAGGAGCACGAAGGUUGGCUAAUCCUGGUCGGACAUCAGGAGGUUAGUGCAAUGGCAUAAGCCAGCUUGACUGCGAGCGUGACGGCGCGAGCAGGUGCGAAAGCAGGUCAUAGUGAUCCGGUGGUUCUGAAUGGAAGGGCCAUCGCUCAACGGAUAAAAGGUACUCCGGGGAUAACAGGCUGAUACCGCCCAAGAGUUCAUAUCGACGGCGGUGUUUGGCACCUCGAUGUCGGCUCAUCACAUCCUGGGGCUGAAGUAGGUCCCAAGGGUAUGGCUGUUCGCCAUUUAAAGUGGUACGCGAGCUGGGUUUAGAACGUCGUGAGACAGUUCGGUCCCUAUCUGCCGUGGGCGCUGGAGAACUGAGGGGGGCUGCUCCUAGUACGAGAGGACCGGAGUGGACGCAUCACUGGUGUUCGGGUUGUCAUGCCAAUGGCACUGCCCGGUAGCUAAAUGCGGAAGAGAUAAGUGCUGAAAGCAUCUAAGCACGAAACUUGCCCCGAGAUGAGUUCUCCCUGACUCCUUGAGAGUCCUGAAGGAACGUUGAAGACGACGACGUUGAUAGGCCGGGUGUGUAAGCGCAGCGAUGCGUUGAGCUAACCGGUACUAAUGAACCGUGAGGCUUAACCUU
rnacentral:rRNA from 4 species